UGUUUAAGGUACCCCUGGAGAUGCCCACUUGCAGCCUUCCAGUUAUCUUUUCUUCGUUGCUAAACUGGUUUGCUCAGGACGGGUAUUUUAUACCCACACACCAAAGAAACUUUUUGAGGUUUGGGGAGAUGCAUCAUUGCGGAUCCUCUCGUAUUGCAAAAAAAGAGAAGAGAGCCUUGGAUCUAUCAGUUCAAGCAAACAUUUCAUCUGACAGCCUUGGAGAUCCCACUUUGGAGAUGGGGCUUUAACAACUCUGCCAGCUAUCCUUUCUCCACUGCCAUACAGAUUGUGCAGCAAGAUGGUUCGGCCCUCAUACCAGGAGGCAAAACAAGAAUUUGUUGAUUUUGCGAAUUCUAGGUGCAUUAUUUAUGACAAUAAAUG